rnacentral:tRNA from 2 species
UGGUGUAGCUCAGUUGGUAGAGCAGCUGAUUUGUAAUCAGCAGGUCGGGGGUUCGAGUCC